rnacentral:rRNA from 1 species
GACGAACGCUGGCGGCGUGCUUAACACAUGCAAGUCGAACGGAAAGGCCCUGCUUUUGUGGGGUGCUCGAUUGGCGAACGGGUGAGUAACACGUGAGUAACCUGCCCUUGACUUAGGGAUAACUUCAGGAAACUGGGGCUAAUACCGGAUAGGAGCUCCUGCUGCACGGGGGGGGUUGGAAAGUGCCGGCGGUGGGGGAUGGACUAGAGGCUUAUCAGCUUGUUGGGGGGGUAGGGGCUUACCAAGGUUUUGACGGGUAGCCGGCCUGAGAGGGUGACCGGCCACAUUGGGCCUGAGGUACGGCCCAGACUCCUACGGGAGGCAGCAGUGGGGAAUAUUGCACAAUGGGCGGAAGCCUGAUGCAGCAACGCCGCGUGCGGGAUGACGGCCUUCGGGUUGUAAACCACUUUCGCCUGUGACGAAGCGUGAGUGACGGUAAUGGGUAAAGAAGCACCGGCUAACUACGUG